GACGAACGCUGGCGGCGUGCUUAACACAUGCAAGUCGAACGGAAAGGCUCCAGCUUGCUGGAGUACUCGAGUGGCGAACGGGUGAGUAACACGUGGGUAAUCUGCCCUGCACUCUGGGAUAAGCCUGGGAAACUGGGUCUAAUACUGGAUAUGACCUUUCUCCUUAUGGGGUUUGGUGGAAAGUUUUUCGGUGUAGGAUGAGCGCGCGGCCUAUCAGCUUGUCGGUGGGGUGAUGGCCUACCAAGGCGACGACGGGUAGCCGGCCUGAGAGGGUGAUCGGCCACAUUGGGACUGAGAUACGGCCCAGACUCCUACGGGAGGCAGCAGUGGGGAAUAUUGCACAAUGGGCGGAAGCCUGAUGCAGCGACGCCGCGUGAGGGAUGACGGCCUUCGGGUUGUAAACCUCGUUCAGCAGGGACGAAGCGUAAGUGACGGUACCUGCAGAAGAAGCACCGGCUAACUACGUGCCAGCCGCCGCAGUAA
rnacentral:rRNA from 1 species